rnacentral:lncRNA from 1 species
AUUUCACAUGCUCCUGGGCACUACUCAACAGAUUGAAAAAAUAACAAUAAGAGAAACCAAUGACCCUCCCGAAAUGAAUGCCUCUCUGGCCGUAGAGAGCUCGCUGUGCAUCAGCUGAGGCCCGUGGAUUUAACAGACUCCGAGCUUGGGACGCGGCGUGUCGGGAGGAAGCCCGGAAAGAGGCAGUACCGGAACUACAUAUGGAGGCGAGUGGUGCGAGCGCACGAGGGAUUAUUUUGUGCUGAUGUUCACGUUCUUGGUUCUUAUGCUCCUGAAAACAAUGCCUUCAGCAUGCAAGCAGGUGUGACUCUUAGUCCAUAAAUACAGGAUCCUUCACGGGCACAGUCGGGCCCCUCCCCUGCCGGGGUGUCCUGGCACCCCGGAAUGCUGAUACGGAGCCCUGAGGUUCAGCGAAGGGUCUCUCCUCUCCAGUUUAUCAGACUCGCCACUGUUCUCCUCAUUGUUCAGGUCUGUGGUGUUUCCAGAGUUCCUGUGCCUGGCAUUCCUGAAGCCCUCUUGAGUGUGUGGCCCCAGGCCUGAAGCCAUGGGGACACAGACGUGGAGAGCCUCCACAGGAUGCUCCAGGGCCUCUCUCCCAUGAUGUCUCCCCAGAUUCACCUGCUGCUUCGUCUCUUCACUCUUAUACUCACUCCCAAUGACUAUGCUGCAUUUGAAAUAGGAAUGUGGCCUUUGACUAUGGAAGGCCGUAAAGAAAGCCAUCAGGCUGAGAAUUCAGGAUUCUCUGAUGCUCCAUGAUUAUGAUUAAGACCUGAGCUUGAGUCUGGUCCUCUGCUCUGGCUGCCCUCUGGUUGCAGGAUUAGGGUCUCCUUAAAUACUGCCAAGGAGGCCUUCUUGCUUUCACGUUUUGCCUUGAGUUG